AUUCAGUUGAUGAGUUCCACAUAGGACGAAAUGCGCACAUCAAGCUGGAU
rnacentral:hammerhead_ribozyme from 1 species